UCGCUCACUUCCUAGCUUCUUUUAUGGCUAUGGCUAAAAGAAGCAGCGAGUUUGAGAAAUUUUCAAGCAUUUUACAACAAUUUGGACAUGUUUUUGGUUUUGUUAUUCCAAUCUAAUAUAGGACGUUUUGCCGUUUCUGCGGUGUACACUCGCUCAAUAACCUCCCGAAUUACACCGAUUCAUACACAAAAUAGCUAUCAUGUGGAUUAUCCUGUUGAUUACGUGUUUUUCUGUUCAGGUUUUUGGUUCUCCGGUGGGAGAACUGUGGUGGUCGAGUCGGCGAACUGUACUGCUUUUUACAGUAAGCGGUUAAAGGAGUAAUUCGCGACUAGAGAAACCUCCAUUCGAGAUUCUGGUGACCACGAAUGGCAUGGCGGAUUUCUUUUUCCUAAAUUUAAGGCUUCCAAAUCGUAGAGCUUCAAAAUUUGUCUUCCUUCAAUACAUAAAUCUGAUUUGGCUUUGUGUUCGUAUAUGAAUUGCAAGAGAAUUCAUAGUUUUUACUAUCAAUUUUUAUUUGUGAACGCCACUGCCUUCUCAAUCAAGACAAGAAAUCCAGUAUAUCUUUUUGUGUUCUUCAAAAGUUCUGAAUAAAAUCUUUACCUGAAUGAACACCUAAGCCUAGCUGUUUUAUUAUUUUCAAUGAGUGAUUCGAUAUAAUAAUUGAAUGUGCAUAUCAAUGUUUUGCAUUUGGUUUUCUGUUUUAGCUGAUGUAUCGAAUUCGUACAGAAAUUAUGAAGGGAGACAAGCUUGUUUUAAGGGGAUGAUGUUUCAUGGGUACCAUGGGGUGAAGCCAGAAGAAAGAAAAUUGGGCCAGAAAUUCUUGGUGGAUGUGGAUGCCUGGAUGGAUCUUCAAGCCGCUGGGAAUUCCGAUAACCUCUCAGAUACUGUCAGCUAUACCGACAUUUACAGGUGAGUAGUAAGUUUGUUUUCUGCAUAAAUUAUCUGCCAUUGAUAGAUAAUCAAGGUGUAGUAUGAGAUUAGUUGGUAAAGAGAUCCAUCCUCAUCCUCGUGUUUUUGUGAAUUUAAACUCAUGGUGCUGAGUAUUUAUCCUUUAUAUAGUUUGUGUUUAUUUCAA